rnacentral:rRNA from 1 species
GACGAACGCUGGCGGCGUGCCUAAUACAUGCAAGUCGAACGCAGUGGGGACGGGUAAGUAACCCGUGGGUGACGUCCCAUAAGCGGGGAUAACACUUGAAAACAGGUGCUAAAACCGAUACUGAUGGAUGGACCCGCGGUGGAUUAGCAAGUUGGUGAGGUAACGGCUCACCAAGGCCACGAUGCACAGCCGAUCUGAGAGGGUGAGCGGCCACACUGGGACUGAGACACGGCCCAGACUCCUACGGGAGGCAGCAGUAGGGAAUCUUGGGCAAUGGACGAAAGUCUGAUCGAGCAACGCCGCGUGAGUGAAGAAGGUUUUCGGAUCGUAAAACUCUGUUGUUAGAGAAGCGGUAUCUAACCAGUAAGCCACGGCUAACUACGUGCCAGCCGCCGCGGUAAUUC